rnacentral:lncRNA from 1 species
AUGGCCAAGGUAAAAGAGGAACUAACGCUCAUCCUUAGGCAGCUGGCAAUCGAAAGAGAGAAAGGAGAAAGGUUUUAGAUAUCAGAAUAUCUGCGUUCUAGUUCUGAUCCUACCUGCAACUCAAGAAGUCAGCUUCCUAAGGCCUCAGGUUCAAAGGUUACAAAUAGGUUGCAUUUUAAGUGCCUCGCCUGAUUGAUCCUGAAGAGGGUGCUGGAGAGGCUGAAAGGCACAAAAGCCUUGACGGAUCAGGAAGAUCCAUCACAGGCGGGAGCUGGGAGCACAGCAAGGCCAGUGCUGCGUAUUUACCAUCCCCGGACGAGUCUGCCUCCGAGGUCUCUGUAAACUUCCUACCCCUAGGAUUCCCACCACAACCUCUAUGCUGUGGCUUAACCCCCAAAGACGGCAGGAUGAUGAAAUGCAGCAAUUUCUUCCACUUCAGUGGGGAGAGGAGCAUGUACAAUAUUGGCAAGAAGAAAGGAAAACUCCUGACUACUCUCUUUUAUUUUGAGAUACAUUUUGAAAAAUCCUUAGCCUCAGCACACAGUUCCUGGCCAUCAGCCAUGGUAAAAUCGGAUCCUCCUGGUCUAUUACAAAUUAAAUAAUCACAGCUAUAUCCAUCAGGAAAACGUACGCAGAAGAGAUGCAUAAGCCAGCAAUUAGUAUUAGCUUCCAGCCUUUCGCUGACUGACUCCGAGGGCCUCGUGGUGGCCCUUGCACCCGGGACCAUGAAUAUCCCAGCUCCUGGCUCUGUGCUUCCAGGGUAAUGAUUGCUCAAGUGGUUGCAUGGGGAGGAGAUGUCUGCCCAGCCUCGCUCCCGGCUCAACCAAAAUGUCUAAUAAUGCUGGCGGAAAGAGUGCCAACAGGCCACGGCACCAAACGAUUGAUGGCGCNNNNNNNGUGCCUAGGCCCCUGCAAGGUGUGAGAAGCGGCUCUCCUAACCACGCCAUGCUCUUUGCUGUCUGAAUCUGUGAUAAUAAAUAUUUGGUCUGGACUAUGUCUAACAAUCUAUGAAAGAGAAGGUGACCAACCAUAGACCUUCACUCAGGUUUCUGGUCUAAGGAGCAGGGAGAUUUUUCAGGUGAUUCUAAACUGGAUUACUGCUCGAGAGAGGCUUCUGACAUCAGGCUGAGGGUCCCCGGCUGACAUUUCCAGUAGCUUGCUCACUGUUCACGUCUGCCUUGUCACACUCUCCCUGGCCGUUCUCACUGAAUCUCACCAUCUUCCACUUUUAUCUAGAGCCAGCUUCUUUGCGCUGGAAACGUAACUUGCCUUCUAAGAAGCUUUCCUGAAAAUGACACUACAGCCUCCGUGGAUGUCACCAGCUCCCGACACAGGGUGUGUUUGUUUCACAACAUGCUUGUGUCAGGAAAUAGAGCAUCUAAAUGUGAAUCCAGAAUGGAGCUCUGCUGCUGUUGGCCUUGCACGUCUGUUCUGCGGCCAUUUUCCUUUGCUGCAGUUGGGAUGUGUUUUGUUCCAUCUAAUAUUUUUUUCUA